rnacentral:tRNA from 1 species
GCCAGCGUAGCUCAAUGGUAGAGCGUCAGGCUUUUACUGUUUCAUAAAUGAAAAUAUUAUAACCUGAAUGUUGCGGGUUCGACCCCCGCCGUUGGCU